GAGGGGAGCAAGAUGUCCACAUUGCAGAGCUGCUCCAGCACAUGGUAAGGAACAAGUUCCAAGCACAAAACAUCUGAAGAACCAAGGGAUAUUAGCGCACAAGCUGUCAGGAGGAGAGGCACCCUUCGAACCAGCAUGUAUAUCCAUUUGCUUUCCUUGAACAGAUCUAGCCAUGGAAGGAGGAAGGAAAGAAAAAGGGAAAUAGCUGAGAAUGGGAGUCUCCUACUAGCUAUGGGAAAGGGCCUUGAGCUCCCAAAAAUCCCUGAUUUUGUGCAAAUAGAUUGAGGAAAUUUCACCACAAGUCAAGGGAGGAGAGGAGAAAGGAAGGGAAAGACUUGGCAAAAUGGGAUGGAAGCCCCAAUUUCGUGC
rnacentral:lncRNA from 1 species